GAGCUCGAAGAGUCAUAAAAGUAGGAUACUUUAUGCGCCAUGUGAAUUCCUCAAUUUAAUGGAGUACUACUAACUUUUCUUCUCCAUGAAAUUUAUUUAGGCCUUGUUUAGAUGUUGGGGUGGAUUGGGAUGAAAAUUAGUUUAUGUUUUAUUCUAAUCCAUCUCAACACAUGUAGAUUAGUAUGAAUCCGACUACAUUUAAACAAGGCCUUAGCAGUAAGUUCCUGCGACUUGUAUUGCAAAAUCAUGGCCAACUGAGCGCACUACAAUCACAAACUGACCCUUUUCUCUUUCUUUUCUUUUGUGACUACUGACCCUUUUCUCUUUCUUUUCUUUUGUGACUACUGACCCUUUUCUCUUGUGCGCACCCCCAUGCAUCAAUUUGUUAACCUUGGUUUGUGUUGCCAAUUUUGUGCAAAAUCUUUUUAAAUUUUCAUUCAAUUCAGUUGCAAAUUGGAAAGUUGGAAGUACAUUUCUAUGUACAUGAAAACGUCCAUUGGGCCCCUCCGGAUGGGACGGUAUCUCCUAGUAAUUUGUUACAUGCAUGCCUUUAUCAUGUGUAUAAACCAGGCCAAACCAUCAACCAUCCUCCUCCCUAUCUGGUGAUCUUGCCAGCACCGAGGUGUGCACCCUCCCCCCUCCUCCCCCCUCCAUGCU
rnacentral:lncRNA from 1 species